AGUGAACGCUGGCGGCAGGCUUAACACAUGCAAGUCGAGCGGGCAUCUUCGGCUGUCUGCGGCAGACGGGUGCGUAACGCGUGGGAACGUACCAUUAGGUUCGGAAUAACUCUGGGAUACUGGAGCUAAUACCGGAUUAGCACUUGUGGGGAACGGUUUACUGCCGAAGGAUCGGCGCGCGUCUGAUUAGCUAGUUGGUGGGGGAACGGCCUGCCAAUGCGACGUUCAGUAGCUGGUCAGCGAGGAUGAGCAGCCACGCUGGGACUGAGACACGGCCCCGACUGCGACGGGGAGGAGCAGUGUGGAAUAUAGUACAAGGGACGCAGGCCUGAUCCAGCCAUGCCGCGGAAGUGAUGAAGGCCGUAGGGUUGUAAAGCUCGUUUGUCCGGGACGAUAAUGACGGUACCUGAAGAAUAAGCCCCGGCUAACUACGUG
rnacentral:rRNA from 1 species